GACUCGUUCAUAUAUAGGGAAGUGAAGGAGUGGCUGUUGGCCAUUGAUAAUUGACACUUCAGACUCGUGAAAUGUUAACCAAUGAGGUGAGUUUCAGGGUGAAUGUCAACCAAUCAGUGGCCGGGUUUGGUUGGCUGCUGGGUAUAAAGGUGACGAUGAGACAAAAUACACUUCAGUGUGUUUUACCUCACUUUUGGUAUACAGUUCCAGCUUCGUCUCUUGGAGUAAAGGUACCCAGCUUCCUUUGGUCCCACGGCCCCCAGCUUAACGUACUCUCGGCCUUCAAGGACACGGCAAACUCUACGCUAUCCUGUGGAAUACCUGGUAAUAUGCUGUGGUCAAACUCUUACUGCUAGUCUUGGCAGAGGCUUCCAGCUAGUUAGUAGUAGACAAGGAAUUGUUAGGUGGGCUCCAGUUCGUUUACAAGCGGCAACGAGCGAGGCACUACCACCUGGAGGUCAUCUUGGUACACCGUCCUCCUAGUCUCACGCUGGAGGGUUCGGGCGACCGCUGCCGUACAACAGGAAAGGCAACAAAGACUGUCUCGGUACUGAACAUUUAUAUCGACGGGAUAAAGUGGCAAGACAUUACGUGGUGUCGUGAGACCAGCCUUAGAUAUUUUUUUUGCCAGAAAAUGGCCUGGUUUCCUGAAUGUUAAGUUGUAAAAUAUUAGAACUUAAACUAGCUCAUAUUAUUCUUGAAUACCUGAACCGGGAGGUCGCUUUAUGCUUGUUCACAAAACUUUCUAAGGACCCAAGUGUCGUUAGUGUAACUUUGUAUUUUAAGAAAUUAACAACUCGACAAAUCUAACUUGUUAAACUAUUAAUUGAUAGACUUUAAUAUCACUGACAUGACAUUGGCACCAUGCACCUGGGGAGGGGGGGAGGGGACAAAUGUGUACCAGUACCCCCCCUCCCCUACAAACCAGUGUAUGGGGAUUCAUUGUAAAACUUGGUUGUGGGCCUCGCUCCCAUAGACACCUCUAGGUUUCAAAGAUGAAUGGCUUUUGUUCAGUUUCUUCUUUAUUUAGCAGUUAAUAUCAAACUUUAACGGCGGCUCAACUCUCCGAUGUCGUAAAAUAAGUUUUACAGGUUUUUGUAUUAUAAACCCAUUCUAAUAUGGUAACUAGAUGAUUUCCUUA